rnacentral:misc_RNA from 1 species
ACAUCUAACUUGAAGGGAUAAAAGGUUUGUCCCUUCUCACAUCUCAUUUUGCUUUUGUAUUUUAUUUAACUCUAUAUGUUGAUAUUUCAAGGCUAAGGCCUAAUAGCACCUUUUUCUGUUCUCCAACAUUUGGAUUAUUUUCCUGUUGUUGUACCUCCUUAAAAAUUUUUGAGGUUAGAUUGCCUUUACAUUUUUGAAUUUGGAGUUGAUUGUAAAGUUAUGGAAAUAUACAGCUCUACUCUAUUCCUCAAUGCUCUAUGCAUCCCAGU